ACGCGGGGUGGAGCAGCCUGGUAGCUCGUCGGGCUCAUAACCCGAAGGUCGUCGGUUCAAAUCCGGCCCCCGCANN
rnacentral:tRNA from 1 species